GGCGCUAUAGCAGAGUUGGUUAAGGCAUCGCCGAUCACAGGCGAGGUUGCGGGUUCGAGUCCCGCUGGAAUUA
rnacentral:tRNA from 1 species